rnacentral:rRNA from 1 species
CAGUAGCCGCGGUAAUACGGAGGAUCCAAGCGUUAUCCGGAAUCAUUGGGUUUAAAGGGUCCGUAGGCGGUCUUGUAAGUCAGUGGUGAAAGCCCAUCGCUCAACGGUGGAACGGCCAUUGAUACUGCAGGACUUGAAUUAUUGGGAAGUAACUAGAAUAUGUAGUGUAGCGGUGAAAUGCUUAGAGAUUACAUGGAAUACCAAUUGCGAAGGCAGGUUACUACCAAUUGAUUGACGCUGAUGGACGAAAGCGUGGGUAGCGAACAGGAUUAGAGACCCCCGUAGUCCCUGUCUCUUAUAU